AUUGAACGCUGGCGGCAGGCUUAACACAUGCAAGUCGAGCGGGGUGAUGGUGCUUGCACUAUCACUUAGCGGCGGACGGGUGAGUAAUGCUUAGGAAUCUGCCUAUUAGUGGGGGACAACAUCUCGAAAGGGAUGCUAAUACCGCAUACGUCCUACGGGAGAAAGCAGGGGAUCACUUGUGACCUCGCGCUAAUAGAUGAGCCUAAGUCGGAUUAGCUAGUUGGUGGGGUAAAGGCCUACCAAGGCGACGAUCUGUAGCGGGUCUGAGAGGAUGAUCCGCCACACUGGGACUGAGACACGGCCCAGACUCCUAUGGGAGGCAGCAGUGGGGAAUAUUGGACAAUGGGGGGAACCCUGAUCCAGCCAUGCCGCGUGUGUGAAGAAGGCCUUAUGGUUGUAAAGCACUUUAAGCGAGGAGGAGGCUCUUUUGGUUAAUACCCAAGAUGAGUGGACGUUACUCGCAGAAUAAGCACCGGCUAACUCUGUGCCAGCCGCCGCCGUAAUAC
rnacentral:rRNA from 1 species